rnacentral:tRNA from 1 species
GAGAAUUAGCACAAUGGCAGAGCAGCGGACUGUUAAUCCGCCUAUACAAGUUCGAUUCUUGUAUUCUCC